ACAAACGAAAGCAUAGCUAGCAGGCGUUUUUAAAAACUUCCACAAUUUUUAUCUGAUCGCAACCAAAUUUUCACGAAUGACAAUUACUAUAGUUGUUAGUGUAUAUACCAAAAUUCUGCUCUACCUUCAAAAUGGCUUGUUAUUCGAUUUAUUUUGAUUUGCAGGGGCGGGAGUGGGCUUGCCAAAAUUUGAAACAAUCUUAAUCUGCGUGCAAACAUAACGAAUGCUGUCGAAAAAAUUAUAGCUCUAUCUCUUAUAGUCUCUGAGAUCCAGUCUUUCAUACGGACAAACGGACAUGGCUAGAGUGUCUCGGCUGUUGACGCUUAUCAAGAAUAUAGGGUCAGAGAUGCCUUCUUCUACCUGUUACAUAUAUUUCCUGCCGGCACAAAGUUAUAAUACCCUUCUAUUCUAUGGAUAGUGGUCUCAUACUUUUUAUACGGACAGGCUGUCAGUCAAACGGAGAUGGGUUUAUCAUCUGUGCUCUUCACAUUGAUCAAGUGUUAAUAUGUAUAUAUACUGUAUUCGGAGAUAUUGCAGAUCUACUCUUUGAGUAAUACCAAUUGGGCAAAAGAAAGUGAAAAAACCAAUAGUAAACCAUUAAGGUUUAGCAAAUCUAAGUGGAACAAGAACUGCAUGGGAGUUUAAGGCAAAAUACAAAUCUUCAUCUGAUAUAUACUAUACAUAUUUCAACACUAAAAUAAUUACGACCAAAAACAACAAUUAUUAUAACAAUGGGUCAAUAGCAAAAAACAGAUCAGGUGGUCUUCCCAGACAAUUUGGUGUAUCAUUAAUCUGGGACAAUGAUACACACGAAACACAUAUAAAAACAUUAAUUAGCGAGGGACGCAAUCCAAUAUUAAAAUAACCACGGUUAGCAGAUCACGAUCAAAAUUCUUACUUUUAAUUAUAGAAAACAAAGCUGGAGGAAUAUACGAAAAGAAGAUAAAACAAGUAAGAAAGUUACAGUCGAGUGUGCUCGACUGUGAGAUACCCGCUACCCAUUUUUAAUAAAGGCAAAAUAUUGCGGUAAUAUUU